CUGGUUCUCCCCGAAAGCUAUUUAGGUAGCGCCUCGUGAAUUCAUCUCCGGGGGUAGAGCACUGUUUCGGCAAGGGGGUCAUCCCGACUUACCAACCCGAUGCAAACUGCGAAUACCGGAGAAUGUUAUCACGGGAGACACACGGCGGGUGCUAACGUCCGUCGUGAAGAGGGAAACAACCCAGACCGCCAGCUAAGGUCCCAAAGUCAUGGUUAAGUGGGAAACGAUGUGGGAAGGCCCAGACAGCCAGGAUGUUGGCUUAGAAGCAGCCAUCAUUUAAAGAAAGCGUAAUAGCUCACUGGUCGAGUCGGCCUGCGCGGAAGAUGUAACGGGGCUAAACCAUGCACCGAAGCUGCGGCAGCGACGCUUAUGCGUUGUUGGGUAGGGGAGCGUUCUGUAAGCCUGCGAAGGUGUGCUGUGAGGCAUGCUGGAGGUAUCAGAAGUGCGAAUGCUGACAUAAGUAACGAUAAAGCGGGUGAAAAGCCCGCUCGCCGGAAGACCAAGGGUUCCUGUCCAACGUUAAUCGGGGCAGGGUGAGUCGACCCCUAAGGCGAGGCCGAAAGGCGUAGUCGAUGGGAAACAGGUUAAUAUUCCUGUACUUGGUGUUACUGCGAAGGGGGGACGGAGAAGGCUAUGUUGGCCGGGCGACGGUUGUCCCGGUUUAAGCGUGUAGGCUGGUUUUCCAGGCAAAUCCGGAAAAUCAAGGCUGAGGCGUGAUGACGAGGCACUACGGUGCUGAAGCAACAAAUGCCCUGCUUCCAGGAAAAGCCUCUAAGCAUCAGGUAACAUCAAAUCGUACCCCAAACCGACACAGGUGGUCAGGUAGAGAAUACCAAGGCGCUUGAGAGAACUCGGGUGAAGGAACUAGGCAAAAUGGUGCCGUAACU
rnacentral:rRNA from 1 species